rnacentral:rRNA from 1 species
UACGUAGGGUGCAAGCGUUAAUCGGAAUUACUGGGCGUAAAGCGUGCGCAGGCGGUUGUGCAAGACAGGAUGUGAAAUCCCCGGGCUAAUCUGGGAACUGCAUUUGUGACUGCACGGCUAGAGUGUGUCAGAGGGGGGUAGAAUUCCACGUGUAGCAGUGAAAUGCGUAGAUAUGUGGAGGAAUACCGAUGGCGAAGGCAGCCCCC